UACGGGGGGGCAAGCGUUGUUCGGAAUUACUGGGCGUAAAGGGAGCGUAGGCGGUGUGGCAAGUCCGAUGUGAAAGUCGGGGGCUCAACCCUCGGAUGCCGGUGGAUACUGUCGGGCUUGAGUACGGAAGAGGCGAGUGGAAUUCCUGGUGUAGCGGUGAAAUGCGCAGAUAUCAGGAGGAACACCAAUUGCGAAGGCAGCUCGCUGGGACGUUACUGACGCUGAGACGCGAAAGCGUGGGGGAGCAAACAGG
rnacentral:rRNA from 1 species